CCAGGGGUCUUCCACUUUUGACCAGUUGUUAUUUCUGACGGAUGGACGCGCCGAUUGUGGCCUGAAACUAUUGAACACGAAAAGCGUUCGAAACCGCUUGCAAUAUCGGAUGUCCGCCGACCACUGCCUAGAUACGGGCUGACGGGAUGAGCCUUAUUAUAAAUGGACAGCAUGAAUGUUGUUCGUUGUAGGAAACAAAAUUAACGCCAACGAUGCAAACCUAGCGAAAAUGGGGUACUGAUACACGCGAAGUUUAAUCUGGGUCAAUCGAGUCAUGGAAAACACCGCUAAAGUACGACCAUUUUGACUUGAAGGCGUGUUCGAGGCUUCAGUGGUUGACUCUAAAAGCUGGAUGGACUUUUCGAUACCGCAGGUUAAGGAACCAAGGUUUAGUUAGUAACUUGAAUUACUGACUUAAGUCAAUGGUGAUACAGAUAUAUACAGGCUCGAAUAUAUUUAAGAAUUAGUGGUAUUUUUUAUUCCCUCGCACAGUGAUUUAAGGACUUUGCUUACAAUUUGUUCUGGCCGAUUGUGUUUCACUUAUUAUCCAUGAUGAUAACUAAUAAUAUAUCUUUAUAAUCGUAAAUACUUUGUCCUUCGAAUGCGUAAGUAACUACGAGCGCAAGUUGCAUUUUUGAUGCGAGUACAUUACUUACUACCAUGCGAACUUGAGCAUGAUAUCGGCGCCCCAAAGGGACAGCUUCCUAUUUGUUUAGGGUGCCGUCAUAAGAAAAAUUGUAGGAUAGGUGGGCGGCAGCUGUUGUACUUGAUGCGGCCUCAAGUUCCGUGCAAUUUCGAUUGAAAACAGCGACUGCAAAUGUAAGCACUGUCCACUCCAAUCCGCAGAAUAAAUAGUUUUGUAUUUUAUAAAGCAAAAAAAAAAAAUAGAAAUGAUAAAACAGUUGUCUUGCCGACGUAGUUAUUUUAUUUUAUAAGAUCAGUACCCCACAUUAUUUUGAUCUGGUGCGCAGAAAGGCAGAACGAAAAUCGUAUCUUCAUAUUUUGGGAUCGCUCUCUUACAUCAGCAGUGUUUUAUAUAUACAUUAGAAAAGAUUUCGUUCGAUGUUUAUACAGACUUAUUAUUUAUCGUCCGUUAUACCAUCCAUGAACGCUACUGGUGCAAUACGGUCGAAAAUUGUUUCAACCUAUAAACAUCUGUUCAACCUACCUACAGCUCUCGCUGCUUGUCCUAGUGGCUUACCUUUACCUGUUGACACGAACAUUCGUUCGAAGGAUUACUCACAAUUUCACUGAUAUUUUUCAAUGAACGAUAUCGACAUAGUGCAGAAUAAAAAUUCCACAUAUAUGAAGCGUGCAUACUUUUUUUUAUUUACGGAAAUUGCAUGAACAAUGGCAAGUGAUACAUAAGUAAGAUCGACAGUCUGAUUGUCCUGUGGAAAUGUAUCGCCCAGGGCGCACUGUAGUGACGUCUAUAGGCCGCACUUAAUUCGAGAGGGAAGAGAGGACUUCAACUAAAGAUGGCACGAAAGUUUGAUAGGUCGGCUUCGAAACGGGCUUGAUUUUUGGCAGAGCGUUGCAUUUAUUACUUCCUGGGCGCCAGGCUGC